rnacentral:rRNA from 1 species
UACGUAGGUGACCAGCGUUGUCCGGAUUUACUGGGCGUAAAGAGCGCGCAGGCGGUCGUUCAAGUCGAGUGUGAAAGCCCCCGGCUCAACUGGGGAGGGUCACUUGAUACUGAUCGACUCGAAGGCAGGAGAGGGAAGCGGAAUUCCCGGUGUAGUGGUGAAAUGCGCAGAUAUCGGGAGGAACACCGGUGGCGAAGGCGGUUCUCUGGGCCUGUACUGACGCUGAGGAGCGAAAGCGUGGGGAGCGAACAGG